AUGAUACUGAAUUGCUGAAGGUUCAGAUACUAAAUAAUGAAUUUCACCACCAAAAACACAACAACUUCUCCAAUCAUAAAAUAGCUCUCCCCUUCCAUAUUGAUUGUGCUUGUGCAACCAGAUGCAGAGAGCACAGUCUGCAUCCGUGCAAGGUGGAAGACCAUACAUGGGGGGGAGAAAAAUGUAUAAAAAUGAUUGGGAGCCACCUGCUUUUCUUUUUUUCCUUUGCUUUUUUUAAGCUAUAGAUAUCUGAUAAGAGAGGCGAAACAGAUGGGUGCCGAUGGCGGGUACCACUUUUUCCUCUCUCAUCUUUUUGUCGAAGCACUAAGAGUGGAGUUUGGUCUGAGGGAGGCGGAGGAGAAGAGAAAAAAAAUCUGAAAACUUUCCUUCACGGGACAUUUAAAGGAUCAGUGGAUACAUUUUACCUAACAUUCAUGGCAACAGUUGGAGUUUGCAUUGGGAAACGGAUAAAGACUUGCCACCAGUGCAGCCGGAGGAAGGAGAGAUGUUUGCAUGGUCAUGGUCCUGGCUUGUUGGACUGAGAGAGCCUGAGGGACCGGCCUUAACCUCAUCCAGAGGAUCAAACAGUAGAU